rnacentral:lncRNA from 1 species
GCCCCACUGUGACACUGGUCUGCUGCCUUCCAAAGCAGCCUCUUGACUCAAGAAACACAUUUUUCUGCCUUGAUGUUCCAGAGGGAAAACUGCAUAACACCAGCCCUGGACCGAGUUCAGGCCAGAGCCGCUAAUCAUGCUGCAAGCGGCUGAGGUGGUGGCCCGGCGUCAGCCAUGUGCGCGCAUAGCCCCUUAUGAAAACCUCACUUGAUGGACAGCUCCACGGCAGCAUGGUGCCAGGGGAGGGGACAGGCCUUCUAGCUCUGCCCUCCACGAGGGCUGCACAGGUCUGGCACAAAAAAAAAAAGAUGAACUUCCAGCUGCUGUAGUGCAGUCCAGUGGAAGAGUGUCCCGAGAUUGCCCCAUGGGCCAGGGCCUCCCAGGACCCUCAACAGCCAGCGGCCCUGUGCCUGGAGCCCUGGCCUCUCCAGCCGUUCUCGGGGUCUUGACUCUGUGAGGCUUGGCUGUUGCUGGGUUCCACCAACUUGCCAUCCCUUCACAGCCCUCUUCGGCUUCCCUGCCCCGUGCCCUCCUUGGGAAGGACAGGCCUGUACUCCCUCCACCUGGGCAAAUCCCCUGCUGGCUCAUGUGCUACAGAAGGACAGGCCACGUCCCCACUCACACCUUGCUCCUGUCCCUGUCUGCCCAGCAAUAGUGCUGCAUCCACAUCAC